AGCCCAUGAUGGGGACACUAUCUCAGCAUGCUCUUGAAUCGGUCCCAGGCUUCAAAUAGGGAUUCUGAGUCUAUCUUCUUGAAGCUGGCGAUCAAGUUUCUCAUGUG